AGCUUGCUGUUUCGCUGACGAGUGGCGGACGGGUGAGUAAUGUCUGGGAAACUGCCUGAUGGAGGGGGAUAACUACUGGAAACGGUAGCUAAUACCGCAUAACGUCGCAAGACCAAAGAGGGGGACCCUCGGGCCUCUUGCCAUCGGAUGUGCCCAGAUGGGAUUAGCUUGUUGGUGGGGUAACGGCUCACCAAGGCGACGAUCCCUAGCUGGUCUGAGAGGAUGACCAGCCACACUGGAACUGAGACACGGUCCAGACUCCUACGGGAGGCAGCAGUGGGGAAUAUUGCACAAUGGGCGCAAGCCUGAUGCAGCCAUGCCGCGUGUAUGAAGAAGGCCUUCGGGUUGUAAAGUACUUUCAGCGGGGAGGAAGGGAGUAAAGUUAAUACCUUUGCUCAUUGACGUUACCCGCAGAAGAAGCACCGGCUAACUCCGUGCCAGCAGCCGCGGUAAUACGGAGGGUGCAAGCGUUAAUCGGAAUUACUGGGCGUAAAGCGCACGCAGGCGGUUUGUUAAGUCAGAUGUGAAAUCCCCGGGCUCAACCUGGGAACUGCAUCUGAUACUGGCAAGCUUGAGUCUCGUAGAGGGGGGUAGAAUUCCAGGUGUAGCGGUGAAAUGCGUAGAGAUCUGGAGGAAUACCGGUGGCGAAGGCGGCCCCCUGGACGAAGACUGACGCUCAGGUGCGAAAGCGUGGGGAGCAAACAGGAUUAGAUACCCUGGUAGUCCACGCCGUAAACGAUGUCGACUUGGAGGUUGUGCCCUUGAGGCGUGGCUUCCGGAGCUAACGCGUUAAGUCGACCGCCUGGGGAGUACGGCCGCAAGGUUAAAACUCAAAUGAAUUGACGGGGGCCCGCACAAGCGGUGGAGCAUGUGGUUUAAUUCGAUGCAACGCGAAGAACCUUACCUGGUCUUGACAUCCACGGAAGUUUUCAGAGAUGAGAAUGUGCCUUCGGGAACCGUGAGACAGGUGCUGCAUGGCUGUCGUCAGCUCGUGUUGUGAAAUGUUGGGUUAAGUCCCGCAACGAGCGCAACCCUUAUCCUUUGUUGCCAGCGGUCCGGCCGGGAACUCAAAGGAGACUGCCAGUGAUAAACUGGAGGAAGGUGGGGAUGACGUCAAGUCAUCAUGGCCCUUACGACCAGGGCUACACACGUGCUACAAUGGCGCAUACAAAGAGAAGCGACCUCGCGAGAGCAAGCGGACCUCAUAAAGUGCGUCGUAGUCCGGAUUGGAGUCUGCAACUCGACUCCAUGAAGUCGGAAUCGCUAGUAAUCGUGGAUCAGAAUGCCACGGUGAAUACGUUCCCGGGCCUUGUACACACCGCCCGUCACACCAUGGGAGUGGGUUGCAAAAGAAGUAGGUAGCUUAACCUUCGGGAGGGCGCUUACCACUUUGUGAUUCAUGACUGGGGUGAAGUCGUAACAAGGUA
rnacentral:rRNA from 1 species